rnacentral:rRNA from 1 species
GACAGAGGGGGCAAGCGUUGCUCGGAAUCACUGGGCGUAAAGGGCGUGUAGGCGGGCAGGAAAGUCAGAUGUGAAAUCCCCAGGCUCAACCUGGGAACUGCAUUUGAAACUCCCUUUCUUGAGUGUCGGAGAGGAAAGCGGAAUUCCUGGUGUAGAGGUGAAAUUCGUAGAUAUCAGGAGGAACACCAGCGGCGAAGGCGGCUUUCUGGACGAUAACUGACGCUGAGACGCGAAAGCGUGGGGAGCAAACAGG